AAUAAUGAGGGGUGUCACGGGAUAUGACUAUAUAGGUCUUGUAGAGGAGAAACAGGCGCAUCUUUUGCGCAAGGUAUCGAAGGGCGCUAUGUUCAAAAAUCUGAAACUAGAGCUCAAAAUUUGAAAAAAAUUGUUAAAAACAGGGGGGUUGGCCUAUUCCAUGGCUUCUACAGAAAAAUAAUGAGGAGUGUCACGGAGUAUGACUAUAUAGGUCUUGUAGAGGAGAAACAGGCGCAUCUUUUGCGCAAGGUAUCGAAGGGGGCUAUGUUCAAAAAUCUGAAACUAGAGCUCAAAAUUUGAAAAAAAUUGUUAAAAACAGGGGGUUGGCCUAUUCCAUGGUUUCUAGAGAAAAAUAAUGAGGAGUGUCACGGAGUAUGACUAUAUAGGUCUUGUAGAGGAGAAACAGGCGCAUCUUUUGCGCAAGGUAUCGAAGGGCGCUAUGUUCAAAAAUCUGAAACUAGAGCUCAAAAUUUGAAAAAAAUUGUUAAAAACAGGGGGGUUGGCCUAUUCCAUGGUUUCUAGAGAAAAAUAAUGAGGGGUGUCACGGGGUAUGACUAUAUAGGUCUUGUAGAGGAGAAACAGGCACAUCUUUUGCGCAAAGUAUCGAAGGGCGCUAUGUUAAAAAAUCUGAAACUAGAGCUAAAAAUUUGAAAAAAAGAAUAUUAAAAACAGGGGGUUGGCCUAUUCCAUGGCUUCUAGAGAAAAAUAAUGAGGGGUGUCACGGGGUAUGACUAUAUAGGUCUUGUAGAGGAGAAACAGGCGCAUCUCUUGCGCAAGGUAUCGAAGGGCGCUAUGUUCAAAAAUCUGAAACUAGAGCUCAAAAUUUGAAAAAAAUUGUUAAAAACAGGGGGGUUGGCCUAUUCCAUGGUUUCUAGAGAAAAAUAAUGAGGGGUGUCACGGGGUAUGACUAUAUAGGUCUUGUAGAAGAAAAACAGGCGCAUCUUUUGCGCAAGGUAUCGAAGGGCGCUAUGUUCAAAAAUCUGAAACUAGAGCUCAAAAUUUGAAAAAAAAAUUGUUAAAAACAGGGGGGUUGGCCUAUAACAUGGCUUCUUGAGAAAAAUAAUCAGGGGUGUCACGGGGUAUGACUAUAUAGGUCUUGUAGAGGAGAAACAGGCGCAUCUUUUGCGCAAGGUAUGGAAGGGCGCAAUGUUCAAAAAUCUGAAACUAGAGCUCAAAAUUUGAAAAAAAAAAUUGUUAAAAACAGGGGGCUUGGCCUAUUCCAUGGCUUCUAGAGAAAAAUAAUGAGGGGUGUCACGGGGUAUGACUAUAUAGAUCUUGUAGAGGAGAAACAGGCGCAUCUUUUGCGCAAGGUAUCGAAGGGCGCUAUGUUCAAAAAUCUGAAACUAGAGCUCAAAAUUUGAAAAAACAAUUGUUAAAAAUAGGGGGGUUGGCCUAUUCCAUGGCUUCUACAGAAAAAUAAUGAGGGGUGUCACGGGGUAUGACUAUAUAGGUCUUGUAGAACAGAAACAGGCGCAUCUCUU